rnacentral:lncRNA from 1 species
GAUAAUCAAGUGCCUGUUGAAAAAACCAUCAAUCACUCUUUUUAGAUCCAACUUGUUGUAAAACAAAAAAGAAUUCUUUUCUCCUCAAUCUCAGAGAUGGAGGUGCCCUAAAUUGGAUGCAAUAGUUCUGCUAGAACAUUCCUCAUAGACGGGAAGUGUACUGCACUAUUAGGUAACAUUUUUCCUACCAGACACAUACUAAAAUCGUUUUCAUAAUCCUCUUCCUCAUCUUGCUCAAGAAUCGGAUCUUCUUAUUCAUCG